UGUGAAGUGAAACCAAGCAAGAAUUGAGGGAGGUGGGAAUGGGAGAUUGGAGCUAGCAGAAGUUGUAGGAGUGGGUUGGUUGGGAAGAAAUCAAAACCUUAUAAUAUGUAUAUGUUAUGGUUUUUAUUUUUUCCCAAUUCCACCCAUUCCUAUUAUUUCUAUUGGUUCCUCCCUUUCCUUUCUUCUCUACAUCACAUCUCUGACUACAGCUAACUUCACCACUUUAAUAGAAGAAUUUUGGUACAUAUAUAGCUGGCUUCCUCAUCAAGUUUGAUGUGCACUACUGCCUUAAAAUUAUGAACUAAAAUCUUCACUAUACGGACCUAGAUAGCUGAAACAGAUCUUGACCUACACGGAAUAAUAUAUUUAGAAUUUUAGAUUUAAAAAAAAA